AACCAUAGAAACCUGCGGAGUACCUGCGGAGGGAUCAUCAAAGGAUAUUUUAUUAUAACAAGGGGGGAUUUUUCUCUUGUUUCACGACAGAGAGAGAGAGAGAGAGAGAGACCCUUGUUAAAAAAACAAACAAAUAUACAUGACUAGGAAAAAGAGAAGGGGGGGGGAGAUGAUGAUAAAAGUUUUUGACUGAUAAGAGAAAACUUGAUUUGGUUGGAAAUAUAUAUAUAUAACUUUCAG
rnacentral:misc_RNA from 1 species